UACAGAGUGAUGUAGUGGUUUGGGUGUUGGAUUAGGACUCUGGAAACCAAGGUUCAAAUCCUUGCUCAGCCA
rnacentral:tRNA from 1 species